rnacentral:snRNA from 1 species
CUGCACAUUUUGGCAGCACAUAUACUAAAAUUGGAAUACAGGGAAGAUUAACAUGGCCCCGGUGCAAAGAUGACAAAUUCCUUAAGUGUACCACAUUUUA